GCCCGGUUCAACGUCAGUUCACCGUCUCACCUCAUACUGCAUUGGAGCAGCAGCAGCUGACUGCCCAGUUCAACAGCAGUUCACUGUCUCACCUCAUACUGUAUUGGAGCAGCAGCAGCUGACUGCCCAGUUCAACAGCAGUUCACCGUCUCACCUCAUACUGUAUUGGAGCAGCAGCAGCUGACUUGAUCGUUGAUGCUAAUCAUCAUGUUUGAAUCUGAGAGUAAAUAGAGCCGACUACAACUCUAAAAAUGAAGGGUUCAACUGGAAUUGUUCUCAGAUCCCUUUAAGAACCGUAGGGUUGUUGGUCAAUGAAAAACAGCCCCAAAAGGUUCUUCAAAGAACUUGUUAGAAGGUGGGUUCAUCGAGGAACCUCCGUUGUUGCUGGACUUUGUUAACUAACUAACUAAGAACGGUGACCUGUCCAGACAAGAUGUUACAACGAACUGAAUCGUUAGUGGAGGUCUUCCUCUUUAUAUAGCCUGCUACAGCAUGUAAUACUAUUAACUCACAAGGGGGCAUAAGGUUACAUAGACAAUACUAUCCCAUUUUGGAAACGUUACAUGUACAAUACUAUCCCAUUUUGGAAAUGUUACAUGGACAAUACUAUCCCAUUUCGGAAACAUUACAUGUACAAUACUAUCCCAUUUUGGAAAUGUUACAUGUCUGCCCCCUUGUUGAAGGAAAUGAAUAGCUUAGAUGAAAGCUGUAGAUGGGAUUCAAAUGCAUGAUGGUGUUAAUACAUUUUCUGGACUACCUCUUCUGUAUAAAUGCCCUUCAGGAAAAUGUUGCGUAUAGUCUUUAAAGUCAGCCUGAUGAAAUAUUGAACAAUUUGUGUACAAAGAUAUCUUGAAAUGUGAUAUUAGGCCUGUAUGGCAGUACUGUUACUGUAUGGCAGUACUGUUACAGUAUGGCAGUACUGUAUUGGCUAAUGCUUUCUCCAAUAUGUUCUUCUAUUUUGCAUUACAUUGUAUGUCGAUGCCAUUUAUCUUUCAAUAUUUAUUUUAUAUAUAUAUUAAUGCUUUUAAGACUAUUCUUUGGCACAUUUUCUCGUCCUUUGAAAUUCUUAUAGGACAGAACAUGGACACAAUGCAACUGGGAUCAAGAAGAAGAAGGAACAGAUAUGUUGUAGGACAGCUGCAUUUGAAGUGUACAUUUAACCUACAUAGCAGUCAAUACUAACUGACAUAUAUUAGCAUACAAAUGUGUGCAAAUUAUCUUUUCAGAUCUUCUCAGAAAUUAAUCAAGUCCAUGGAAUGGAUAUAGACAAAAAGAGAAUUCAAGGACCCUCAGAGGUAUAGAGGCGAGGCAGGGGUGAGGACAUCGUCCUGCUAUUUUGACAGUCCCUGAAGGACAAUACAGAAGAGGACUGGAGACCACAGCAGCGAUUUUACUCUUGCCCAACCUCUUCAAAGAGGACCCAAGAUUUCACCGCUCGGCGGAAAUCCAUUUCACCAUGAGAGUGAAAUCCCGCUGGCCUUUGAUGGGGAGAACAUCCUCGCCCUCGAGGACGUCCUCAUGGGACUUGGGGCUCUGCUAGGGCUGAAUUUUUUAUUUUCUCUUAAAUUUCCCCAAAAUGUCAGAAAACACUUAUGUUAAGUUACUGUGUUCUGGGGAGAAGAGAAGUUGGGGUGAAGUUACCAGAGCCGGUCAUAAAGAUGGAAAACUUCCUAACAUAACUAAGUGAAUAUGAUAUACACACUAAAGCUGAAAAAUCUGUAUUUAGCAUCAAGUCUACAAUAUUGUUAGUUUACCUAUGAUUCAUUUUUAAUGUAUGUUGUUUUUAUUGUACAUCAUCAUUUA